CUACGGGUGGCUGCAGUGAGGAAUAUUGCACAAUGGGGGGAACCCUGAUGCAGCAACGCCGCGUGGAGGAUGACGCAUUUCGGUGUGUAAACUCCUUUUAUAUGUCAAGAAAAUGACGGUAGCAUAUGAAUAAGCACCGGCUAACUCCGUGCCAGCAGCCGCGGUAAUACGGAGGGUGCAAGCGUUACUCGGAAUCACUGGGCGUAAAGGACGCGUAGGCGGGCUUGUAAGUCAGGUGUGAAAUCCUACAGCUUAACUGUAGAACUGCACUUGAAACUACGAGCCUAGAGUAUGGGAGGGGGAGAUGGAAUUAGUGGUGUAGGGGUAAAAUCCGUAGAUAUCACUAGGAAUACCUAAAGCGAAGGCGAUCUCCUGGAACAUAACUGACGCUAAGGCGUGAAAGCGUGGGGAGCAAACAGGAUUAGAUACCCCUGUAGUC
rnacentral:rRNA from 1 species